ensembl:snRNA U2 U2 spliceosomal RNA
AUCGCUUCUCGGCCUUUUGGCUAAGGUCAAGUGUAGUAUCUGUUCUUAUCAGUUUAAUACCUGAUACGUUCUCUAUUCCGAGAACAUCGUAUUAAACGGGUUUUUGGAGCCUAGGAGUCGGGGUGUGGAGCUUGCUCCGCCCGCUCCACGCGUCGACCUGGUAUUGCAGUGUUUCCGGGACUGGUGCACCCCUC